AUGGCGGCGGGCCUGCGGCUGUGCCCCCCCUUUGGGCGCUGGGUCUGGGCUGGGUCCUCUGGGAAAAACAGCCUGGCGUGGGAGCAAACCGAAUGGCUGAGAGGAAAUACCUGUCCAGCAGAGUUGUUAAGUGCAGUGAGAUCUUCCACUGGAUUGUGCAAAGAAAAGACAAAGAGUACAGUAGUGGUGCUUUGACCUGGAUAGAGGCUCAAAUGUCUUCCUGCAUACUGGACUGCAUAAACUUCAGAGUUUUAAGACCAAGACUUCCCUCUCUCUGUGAUCCCAUCUCCCACAUGAAGCCCACACUGAAGUCCAGCUGGGCAGCCCUAUUGGGUCAGCGAUCACCGUGGCACAACAUCCAGUGAAACAGCAGGGGCAGGAAAAGUCAGGAAUCACAAAAAACAGCGAUGAGCUGUGCAGCUUCAGGAGAGCCACAGGACCAUGCGAGGCAGUAAGUGAGAAAGAGGCAAAUCCCAGCACCAUGCCUGCUCAUUUUCCCAGGGAGGGAAUGCAGAGCCCAAAUGAGCGGCUGCUGCUGGGGCAUUACUUGGGGCACAGCCUCACAGUGUGAGCAGCUGUGCAGUGGGGCUGGGAGGCAGCAGCAUGCAGAAGCACACAGCCUGACCAGGGCUGUCCUCAGCACGGUCUGAACUGACUUAACCACCCGAGUGUUGCCUUUAAAGUCGGAUGAGUGCCUGACCCAGUCUCUUCUCACAAUAAAGAGCAGUGUGGGAUCGUGCUGGCCACAGAUAUUUCUUUUAGCUGGUGUUUGCCUUCCUUCUCCACUGUUUCCCACACCAGUGAUUCUGCUUUUCAAGAUGAAGUUCUGAAACCGGCGAGAUGUUGCUUUAUCAUCAGUCUUCCACAUCAUGUGAAUCCUCCCAGAAUACCAGCUGACAUUUCAGAGGUUGCAUUUUUGCAUUUGAGCCAGGACGCAGUUAGCACGUAACAGUGGCUUCUUAUGUUGGUGUUGUACUUUUAAUUUUUUUUUUAAGAAGAGAAAAAAGUUCCUUCCUCUUGAGUCUCCAGCAGAGACCGUUUCUCCUUGGGGAAGGAGUUCACAUGAUCAUAUAGAUGCGUCAGAUAAAAUCCCUUCCCACGUUUGAUAUUUGCUAAGUUGAAUGAUUGUUAUUCCAAGCCAAUAGCUGGAAUGGCUGUGAUUUAACAUCCAAAGCUUUUCUUUUUUUUCCUUUGGUUCACAAGCAUUAAAGAAAUGAAGUGCAAAAAUGAAAUCCUUCAGCUUGGACUCAUUAAGCAAACACCACUCUAGCUACGCAAAUAUUUCUCCCUGUUUGUUUGUUUAAAGCUGGCCAAGAGUCAGGCUGUGAGUUCCAGAAAUACUUUCAAGAUAACAGAAACGGGCAUCCGAAUCUAAAAGGAAUUCUGUAUUUAGAAAUUCUGGAAUACUACAAGGGGGUGGCUGUGCUGCUAACGAUUUUCUGAUUGCUCUGAAUCUCCGUGGCUUUGGAAAGUGAGUCAUGACAUCCUUCUUUAUAUAAAUGUUUUUCCCAUCGUAGAUGAUUUUACAAAAUAUAUACCCUAAGGGGAUCUAAUAACACAAUACCCAUCUCUAGUCACGCUGUUGCUUUCAAUAGGGCUUUGCUUGAGAGAGGCUAAAUCAAGCCAUUUCCCACGGGCAGCACUGGGCACGAGCUGUCAAGGCUCAGCACUCAUGGAGCCCACGUGCACUCGGUGCAGAAGCAGCACCCAGCCUAAUGCUUGGCACAGCAGGAACCGAGUGGUGUACGUUGGUUUAUCAAGGCAGCCCUGGCCUCCUGCUGCAGAGCAUGCUUGGGAGCACCAGGCCUUCACUAGAAGUUCACAUCAGUUCCAGCUCACAGGGUGAGUUACUGCAGCAUUCAGUGGACAUAGAAAGCAAGAGCAAGGCACCUUGCAGGUCUUGGUUUCCACUGGCAUUUCAGUGUCAGAAUGGUGUUCCUCUGAUAUAAGUAGUAGCUCAGUUCCAAAUUUACUGUUCUUGAGAGGUAAUGGGAGAAGAUUUUUUUUUUGUCAGACUCCAAUGAAUUGCUUAAAAUGUUUGGUAAUACAACUCUAUUUAUUACCAUGUUUUUAGGGACUCGUGGAAAGUCCUGUGCCUUGACAGCCAGCAAUGCAGCUCUCCACAGCUGUUUGUCCAAAGAUGUAUUUGAGAUUGGUUUAACUCUUAACUUCAUGCAGCAGCCAUCAAAGCGAAACAGAAGUGGAUGUGCUGCUGUCAGUGUGGAUGUGGAGUUCUCUGUGGUUGUGGUGAUCUCUGCUCAUUAUCUGCAGGGACUGAAAUUUGGUUUCUUUUUUAUGCUUAGGAGCCAGAGAAAGCUAAGAUAUUGCUUAACUGAAGAGCCAUUGUUUACUGUUAAUAAAAUUGACACAUUCCGUAUGGCGCAGACAUGCUAUCUUGGCACCAGUAACAGGAGGAAUUAUUCUGCCUGGCUUGCAGUCUUUAUCGUAAAAAGACAGUAAUUAGCCAGCUUGGAACUAAAUGAACCCAACUGAAAAAGCUGAUUGAUGAGGAAUGACUCCUGACUGCUUCCUAAACACAUGUGGUUUGGAUGCCAUCACUGACAGCGCUGAUGCCAGCACCAGGUCGUGGCUCCUGCUGGGCAGUACCCAAAGCUAGUAGUGUUCAAUGGCUUGAUCUCUGGUGGAGUCCCAGCUUGAAGGGGUGAUGAACAAACAGUGAUAAGCACACUGUAAACCCUGCCAAAGUGACCCAUUUACAUGACAAAGUUGGUAUGUUGCAAAUUAUGAUAAAUCUAGAGCAUGCAAGCCACUCCACAUUAAUUCUUGGGGUAAAGAUUGUGCAGUGGCUUACUUCAGAUUAGGAAUUACUUUGCAUGAGGUUCCUCCAUACAGCGUGGCUAUCAGUCAGUGUGUGAUAACUCCCUUUAUAGCCCCCAUACACCAAAUUCUCCACAUAUGCAGGUCUUUGGGCCAGGCUGUCAUCGUGUAGCAAGCUGUCAUUCCCAGGGCCAGAAAGAUCACAUACAGCUUCCUGCAGCUUUUCCAUAUCAAGUUCAUGAAGUCUCUAAUCUUGUAUUUUAAAUAUAUCUAGUAAACCACAAAUUGUUGGUUCUGUUGUUUUGUUGUUGUUCUUUUGUCCCUUUCUGCAAAUGAAGCAUGGGAUCUGUUAUUCCAUUCACCUUUUUCCUCAGCACGGCACAAUUUUUCAUUAGCCAGUGAUGGAACAGUUUGCAAACUUGCUUGUGGCUUCUGCAUCCAGAUCAGGAGCAGUGCGUGCAGAGCUGCUGCGCAGCUGAGGAUGAACUUCCCAUGGCGAUGAAGAGGCACAAAGGAAUGUUUCUGAGUGCCCAGCUGCCUGCAUUCUUGUUCAGCUCAUUCCUUAAAGACUGCUGAGAUGUGAUUGUAUUAGUAAUGAUAUGUUACAGUGCCUCGAGGCCUGGAUAAAUAACUAAUGAGGCAUCUUAGUCAAAAUAAAAAAGAUUUUCCCUCCUGGUUCCUCUGUUUGAACACUCAUUUCUGCAGGAAGGCAUGCAGUGCCACUGGAAAGCACACACCUCCUGUCCAAACACCACGAUGCCUGCAGGUUGCCAUAGCAAU